UACGUAGGUGGCAAGCGUUGUCCGGAUUUACUGGGCGUAAAGAGCGCGCAGGCGGUCAUUCAAGUCGAGUGUGAAAGCCCCCGGCUCAACUGGGGAGGGUCACUCGAUACUGUUUGACUCGAAGGCGGGAGAGGGAAGUGGAAUUCCUGGUGUAGCGGUGAAAUGCGUAGAUAUCAGGAGGAACACCGGUGGUGUAGACGGCUUUCUGGACCGUAACUGACGCUGAGACACGAAAGCGUGGGUAGCAAACAGG
rnacentral:rRNA from 1 species